rnacentral:rRNA from 1 species
UAUGGUGUGUGCCAGCAGCCGCGGUAAUACGUAGGGAGCGAGCGUUGUCCGGAAUUACUGGGUGUAAAGGGAGCGUAGGCGGGAUCGCAAGUCAGAUGUGAAAACUAUGGGCUUAACCCAUAAACUGCAUUUGAAACUGUGGUUCUUGAGUGAAGUAGAGGUAAGCGGAAUUCCUAGUGUAGCGGUGAAAUGCGUAGAUAUUAGGAGGAACAUCAGUGGCGAAGGCGGCUUACUGGGCUUUAACUGACGCUGAGGCUCGAAAGCGUGGGGAGCAAACAGG